rnacentral:rRNA from 1 species
UACGUAGGGUGCAAGCGUUAAUCGGAAUUACUGGGCGUAAAGCGUGCGCAGGCGGUGAUGUAAGACAGAUGUGAAAUCCCCGGGCUCAACCUGGGAACUGCAUUUGUGACUGUACGGCUGGAGUGCGGCAGAGGGGGAUGGAAUUCCGCGUGUAGCAGUGAAAUGCGUAGAUAUGCGGAGGAACACCGAUGGCGAAGGCAAUCCCCUGGGCCUGCACUGACGCUCAUGCACGAAAGCGUGGGGAGCAAACAGG